rnacentral:rRNA from 1 species
AAAGGAAAGAAGGGGACGGGCACAAGCAGUGGAGCAUAUGGUUUAAUUGGAAGCAACGCGCAGAACCUUGCCAUCCCUUGACAUGUCGUGCCAGCUGGAGAGAUCCAGGGUUCCCUUCGGGGACGCGAACACAGGUGCUGCAUGGCUGUCGUCAGCUCGUGUCGUGAGAUGUUGGGUUAAGUCCCGCAACGAGCGCAACCCACGUCCUUAGUUGCCAUCAUUCAGAUGGGCACUCUAGGGAGACUACCGGUGAUAAGCCGCGAGGAAGGUGUGGAUGACGUCAAGUCCUCAUGGCCCUUACGGGAUGGGCUACACACGUGCUACAAUGGCGGUGACAGUGGGAAGCGAAGGAGCGAUCUGGAGCAAAUCCCCAAAAACCGUCUCAGUUCAGAUUGCACUCUGCAACUCGAGUGCAUGAAGGCGGAAUCGCUAGUAAUCGUGGAUCAGCAUGCCACGGUGAAUACGUUCCCGGGCCUUGUACACACCGCCCGUCACACCAUGGGAGUUGGUCUUACCCGACGGCGCUGCGCCAACCGCAAGGAGGCAGGCGACCACGGUAGGGUCAGCGACUGGGGUGAAGUCGUAACAAGGUAGCCGUAGGGGAACCUGCGGCUGGAUCACCUCCUUAA